rnacentral:rRNA from 1 species
UACGGAAGGUGCGAGCGUUAAUCGGAAUAACUGGGCGUAAAGCGCGCGUAGGUGGUUGAGUCAGUCAGAUGUGAAAGCCCCGGGCUUAACCUGGGAACUGCACCUGAUACUGCUUAACUAGAGUACGGUAGAGGGCAGUGGAAUUUCCUGUGUAGCGGUGAAAUGCGUAGAUAUAGGAAGGAACACCAGUGGCGAAGGCGACUGCCUGGACUGAUACUGACACUGAGGUGCGAAAGCGUGGGUAGCAAACAGG